rnacentral:rRNA from 1 species
GAUGAACGCCGGCGGCGUGCCUAAUACAUGCAAGUCGAGCGAACGGACGAGAAGCUUGCUUCUCUGAUGUUAGCGGCGGACGGGUGAGUAACACGUGGAUAACCUACCUAUAAGACUGGGAUAACUUCGGGAAACCGGAGCUAAUACCGGAUAAUAUUUUGAACCGCAUGGUUCAAAAGUGAAAGACGGUCUUGCUGUCACUUAUAGAUGGAUCCGCGCUGCAUUAGCUAGUUGGUAAGGUAACGGCUUACCAAGGCAACGAUGCAUAGCCGACCUGAGAGGGUGAUCGACCACACUGGAACUGAGACACGGUCCAGACUCCUACGGGAGGCAGCAGUAGGGAAUCUUCCGCAAUGGGCGAAAGCCUGACGGAGCAACGCCGCGUGAGUGAUGAAGGUCUUCGGAUCGUAAAACUCUGUUAUUAGGGAAGAACAUAUGUGUAAGUAACUGUGCACAUCUUGACGGUACCUAAUCAGAAAGCCACGGCUAACUACGUG